CUUCAGAAUCUAAAAACUGUCAACAAAUUUUGCAAUAAAAAAAAAGUUGAUGUUAUAAAUAGAUAGAAAUACGAUUUGGAGUAAUCUAAGAUACAAUUUUAGGGAAAAAGGAACGAGGAUAUAUACCGAUAUUACAACCAUGUAUAACUUGGAUUUUCAGUUUAACAUUGAAUCGAUGUGAUUUAAUCCAAAAGAGAACAAAUGAUUCAAAGUUUUACAAACUUUUUCAAAACGUUAUAAUGGAAAAGAGAAUACAAACUGAUCAACUAGCUAGGAGAACUAAAUCAGAAAACACAACUUUGCCACAUUGAUAUAAAUUGAUAUUAUAUAUAUAUAAAGUAUAUAUAUACUCAUAUACAUGUGUUGAUCGUUUUAUCUUAUUCUAUAAACUAAAGAGUAAUUUUGCAAAUUAAACCCAAAAAAAUAACUAGUUGUUAAACGCUUCGCGGAGUAUCUAUUGGAGAGUUGGCCUUUUGCGGCCAUUUAAUUACCAUUAAAUAAGGAAGUUUUUCACAAAAUGUAAUAUCUUUAGUGGUAGUAGUAUUAGUCACCAAUAAAAAAGCAAUGGAUGGAAAAAUAGACAGAAAGUAUUAUAUUAAUGAAUGAAUGUCAUUUGAUAAAAGUUGUGAAGAAGUUUUAGUUCGAUUUCGAUACUUUUGUGGGCUUCGCUGUCACACUGUCACGUGUUAUAUAUAGACCGUGCAUUCGAAUCUUAUACGAUGCGAUUGAGAUCCCAAAAAUAAGAAAACAAACACUAAUUUUAUAAAAGUAUAUAUACCAUUGUAUAAUGCAUUGUUGCUUUCCUACUUUAUACUUUCAUUUCAUGUAACAAUGCGACUUGAUAUGCCAAAAAUAACAUAUCACGAAUCUCAAUUUAUUCAUCUAUUUUUUUUUUCUUUCCAUAACAAAUAAACUUCAGAUUAAUUUAAUUUAAGUUAUAAAGCAUUUAUUGAUUGGAUUAUUUAUGUACAUUUCAUAUCGUGUUAUACCAUUCUUUAAAUAGCAAUUUAAUGUGAACAAUAGACGAACUUGACACAACUCACAAAUAAUGUUGUAUAGGGGACAAAUGCAAACGACUCAUAUCGUUUACAAGACUUUGAGUUUGGUAGUAUUUUGCAUGCUUUAGUUUUGGAUCUCGGUCCUUGAAAUCUGAAUAUAUAUAGUAGUCUUUUCAUUAAUUUAUAUAGUAUAUUUUUAACUUCAGAAGUGUAUUAUAUAGAUGGACAAUCAAUAAGAUAAUCACACAUUCACGCUUCUAAUAAUAUAUUAAUCUUUACCAAUAAUAACAAAAUCAAACAAUUUUGGGAAAAAUUGAUACGAAUACAUAUUUGGUUAUGCGUAAUGCUCUUCAUGGUAAAUAUCAUUUUAUAUUUAUUUAUUUAAUCGAGACAAGAGUGUCAGAGUGAUGAUAAGUGAAAAGAAAAUGAUAGUAUAAUUUUUUCCUUGGAUACUUGUGUGAUCCCUCCAAUAUUUUCCGGAACAGAAAAUCGAGCUAACAAAAUAAUUUUCCUCGAAAAAAAUAGAAAAACAAAAUAAAAUGAUAUUCCCUUUUAACUUAUUUGAGUUCUGCAGUAUUCAACAUUAUAAAAUGCUUUUAACCAUGUAAAGGAGAUGCUUUUGAAAUUUAGCAGAGAGAUUGAGUCCGAUUUUCUUACGUAUUCUCCAUUUUCAUAGAAAAUCGUCUUCUUUCUCUUUUGUGACUUCUCUAGUAAUUUUCUCUCUCGAAUCGAUCUUUCGUUUCCCGCUCUUACGUAUCGUUUUUUUUUUUCCUUGUCUUCUUUCUUGUUUAAAUGCCCAGAAAAUCAGACGGGGAAAAAGGAGAAGUGAGUACAAAAACAUUCCUGCAAAACUGGUUUUUUUUAAUUAGGGAGAGAGGAAAAAAAUAAUGACAGAAAAUUUCUGGACUUUAUUCUGCGGAAAUCACCACACAUCAAACUGCACUCUUGGGUUUCUCCAGAUAUGUUUCGGAAUCACACUCUCAUUCGUAAGUCUCUGUAUUUGCUUGUUUCACAAGGAAUCUCCCAAACAUCAUCAUCGGUUCCAUUGUCUUCGAAUCAUUUCCGCUGUGUUCAACGGAAUCAUCGGAUCGCUAGACUUGAUUUUAGGGAUUUGGGUUUUACAAGACAACCCAAACAAGCCCUUGAUUCUCUGGCUAGUGAUUUUGAUUCAGGGGUUUACGUGGCUGUUGAUUAACUUAGUUGUUUGCCUUAGAGGAAUAAAAAUCCGGAAAUCUUCAUUGAGACUGUUAUCUAUCUUCUCCUUCUUUUAUGCUCUAGUCUCGAGUUGUUCAUCUCUGAACAAUGCUGUUUCUGGUGAGGAAUUAUCAGUUAUGACGAUUCUUGAUGUUUUAUUACUACCUGGGUCAGUGUUAUUACUCUUAAGCGCUUAUAAAGGUUAUAGAUUUGAGGAUUCUGGUGAGAGUAGCUUGUAUGAGCCUCUUCAUGUCUCUGAUUCAAACGAAAAAGCCGGUUUUGAUGAUCGGGUCAGUGAGUUUGCAAGAGCUGGGUUGUUCAGUAAGUUAUCAUUCUGGUGGUUGAAUUCUCUGAUAAAGAGAGGAAAUGUGAAAGACUUGGAGGAAGAAGAUAUACCCGAGCUGCGUGAGGAAGAGCGUGCAGAGACCUGUUAUUCACUGUUUGAGGAGAAUCUCAAUGAGCAAAAGAGAAGAUUAGGGGAUUCUUGCCAGCCUUCGAUCUUGAAAGUGACUGUUCUUUGUGUCUGGAGAGAGGUUUUGAUCUCUGGUUGCUUUGCGUUUAUGAAGAUUGUUGCUGUUUCAGCUGGUCCUUUGCUUCUGAAUGCUUUCAUUUUGGUAGCUGAAGGCAACGAAAGGUUCAGAUAUGAAGGGCUUGUGUUGGCUGUGUUGCUAUUCUUCUCAAAGAGUGUAGAGUCUUUGUCACAGAGACAGUGGUAUUUCAGAAGCAGACUUGUCGGUUUACGCGCUAGGUCUCUUCUCACUGCAGCUAUAUACAAGAAACAGCUGAGAUUGAAUACCUCUUCAAGGCUGAUCCAUUCAGGCAGCGAGAUUAUGAACUACGCGACUGUUGAUGCCUACAGAAUUGGGGAGUUUCCGUAUUGGUUUCACCAGCUUUGGACAACAAGCUUUCAGCUGCUAAUAGCGCUUGGGAUUCUGUUUCAUUCCGUGGGAGUUGCUACGUUUUCAGCUCUAGCUGUGAUAAUACUCACCGUUCUGUGCAACGCUCCUAUCGCUAAGCUUCAGAACAAGUUCCAAAGCGAACUCAUGACCGCUCAGGACGAGAGGCUCAAGGCCUGCAACGAGUCACUUGUCAACAUGAAGGUCUUGAAGCUCUACGCGUGGGAAUCACAUUUCAAGAAGGUUAUUGAGAAGCUAAGGAACAUAGAGUUGAAAUCUUUGAAGGCUGUUCAGAUGAGAAAGGCUUAUAAUGCGGUUCUCUUCUGGUCAUCACCUGUGUUUGUCUCUGCUGCAACUUUUGCCACUUGUUAUUUCUUAAACAUUCCGUUGAGAGCAAGUAACGUUUUCACGUUUGUGGCAACGCUGCGUCUUGUUCAAGAUCCAGUAAGAAUGAUCCCUGAUGUGAUUGGAGUGACAAUUCAGGCUAAAGUUGCCUUCAGUCGUAUAGCAACAUUUCUAGAAGCUCCUGAGCUUCAAGGUGGGGAGAGACGGAGAAAGAAGAGAUCAGAAGGCGAUCAUAAUGCCGUUGUGAUUAAAUCUGCGAGCUUUUCUUGGGAGGAGAAAAGUUCAACAAAGCCAAACUUGAGAAACGUGAGUCUUGAGGUUAAGUUUGGGGAGAAAGUGGCUGUUUGUGGUGAAGUUGGCUCAGGAAAGUCGACACUUUUAGCAGCCAUUCUCGGUGAAACUCCAUGUGUUUCAGGAACGGUAAGUCAUUGUUCCAUCCCCUUUUAGCUCUAGAUUCUAAUAACUUUAUAUAUCUAUCCAAAUUGUGUUUCUGAUACUUGAAUCAUUCUACAGAUUGAUUUUUAUGGUACGAUCGCCUAUGUUUCUCAAACCGCCUGGAUCCAAACGGGGACAAUAAGAGACAACAUACUAUUUGGAGGUGUGAUGGAUGAGCAACGUUAUCGUGAGACAGUUCAAAAGUCUUGCUUAGACAAAGAUCUAGAGCUCUUACCUGAUGGAGACCAGACUGAGAUUGGUGAGAGAGGUGUUAAUCUAAGCGGAGGACAGAAACAGAGGAUUCAACUUGCACGUGCCCUUUAUCAAGACGCAGACAUCUAUCUCCUUGAUGAUCCAUUUAGUGCCGUUGAUGCGCACACUGCUACGAGUUUGUUCAAAGUAAAUACACCGAACUUUAAAAAUUUCUCAUUUUUUUUUGCGGAAAUGUGGAAGCUAAUGAGUGUGAUUGCAGGAAUAUGUAAUGGAUGCUCUUGCAGGAAAAGCUGUGUUACUGGUCACUCAUCAAGUGGAUUUCUUGCCUGCUUUUGAUUCUGUCUUGGUAAUUUUAUAACUUUUUGUAACUUCAGAAUUGUAUUACCCGAUUUUGUUGGCCUUGGUUGCUGAUUGUACAGUUCUUUCUCUAGUUAAUGUCAGAUGGAGAAAUCACUGAAGCUGAUACUUACCAAGAACUCCUAGCUAGAAGCAGAGAGUUUCAAGAUCUCGUUAACGCUCACAGAGAAACCGCUGGUUCCGAACGAGUGUUUGCGGUAGACAACCCCAGCAAACCGGUGAAGGAAAUCAACAAAGUUCCUUCGUUGUAUGCUCAGUCCAAGGUCUUGAAACCGAGUCGUUUAAUCAAACAGGAAGUGCGAGAGAAGGGAGACACAGGGUUGAGACCGUACAUACAGUACUUGAACCAGAACAAAGGUUACAUAUUCUUCUUCAUAGCGAGUCUAGCUCAGGUCAUGUUUGCAAUUGGACAGAUUCUACAGAACUCUUGGAUGGCUGCAAACGUAGAGAACCCCAAAGUUAGCACUUUGAAGUUGAUCUUGGUCUACUUGUUGAUUGGGCUGAGCUCGGUUCUCUGCUUGUUGGUUAGAUCUAUCUGUGUUGUGAUUAUGUGCAUGAAGUCAUCCACUUCGUUGUUCUCUCAUCUUCUAAACUCUCUUUUUAGAGCGCCUAUGUCGUUUUACGACUCUACGCCUCUUGGACGGAUUCUUAGCAGGGUAAAUGCUGAUGAACUUAAUGAAUAUUAAUGCUUGUUGUCUGGUACUAAACCUCUAUUAACUGUUAAUUUCAUUGCAGGUCUCAUCUGACUUGAGCAUAGUAGAUCUUGACGUUCCAUUCGGUCUGAUCUUUGUGGUUGCGUCUACAGUAAACACGGGUUUUAGUCUUGGAGUGUUAGCUAUUGUUACUUGGCAAGUUUUGUUCGUAUCUGUUCCCAUGAUUUAUCUAGCACUUCGUUUACAGGUUAGGUCAUUUUUCUUGUUGCGUGCUUCUUGAUAAAUCAGGUGUUCUCUUGAAAAAAUCCCGGUAAGAGUUUCUGUUUCGUUUCCGUUUUAUCGGUUUGCAGAAGUACUACUUCCAAACAGCAAAGGAGUUAAUGAGGAUCAAUGGCACAACAAAAUCUUUGGUGGCGAAUCAUUUAGCAGAAUCAGUAGCAGGAGCAAUAACAAUAAGAGCAUUCGAUGAAGAAGAGAGGUUUUUCAAGAAAAGUCUCAAACUCAUCGACACAAACGCGAGUCCUUUCCUUCAUAGCUUUGCAGCUAACGAAUGGCUGAUCCAGCGUCUUGAAACAGUCAGUGCCAUUGUUCUAGCCUCCACUGCUUUUUGCAUGGUUUUGCUUCCCACAGGAACAUUUAGCUCCGGUGAGUUCAUUACCAAAAAAAAAAAGGAAUUUCGUUGAGAUCGUAAUUCAUUGUUUGCUUUUAUUAAUGGUGUUUGUUUCUUGUGUUGCGCAGGGUUCAUCGGUAUGGCGCUAUCUUACGGUUUAUCUUUGAAUCUUGGACUUGUUUACUCUGUACAGAACCAAUGCUACUUAGCUAACUGGAUCAUUUCGGUUGAGAGGCUUAAUCAGUACACACAUUUACCACCUGAGGCUCCUGAAACUAUAGAAGAGACCCGACCACCGGUUAAUUGGCCAGUCACAGGCCGAGUCGAAAUCUCUGAUUUGCAGGCAAGUUUUGACUAACACAUUUUCACCCCCCUAAUUGAGAGAAUGAGAGUUUAUUGAUUAAUCUUAUAAUGUUUUUGAUGAUGUAUAGAUAAGAUACAGACGAGAGUCUCCAUUGGUUUUAAAAGGAAUCAGCUGCACAUUCGAAGGAGGGCACAAGAUUGGUGUUGUUGGCCGGACUGGUAGCGGAAAGACGACUCUGAUCAGUGCUCUGUUCAGACUUGUUGAGCCAGUCGGAGGAAAGAUUGUAGUUGACGGCGUUGACAUCUCCAAGAUUGGAGUUCAUGAUCUGAGAUCACGGUUUGGGAUUAUACCUCAGGAUCCAACUCUGUUCAAUGGAACAGUGAGGUAUAAUUUGGAUCCUUUGUGUCAGCAUUCCGAUGCUGAGAUUUGGGAGGUAAGUCAUAAUUAGAAGAAACUAGCUACACAUCUUAUGAAGAAGUUGCUAUAAAAACAAAUUAUUAAUUGCAGGUUCUUGGAAAAUGUCAGCUGAAAGAGGUGGUUCAAGAAAAAGAGAGCGGCUUAGAUUCAUUAGGUAACAAAUAGAUCAGAUGUUUUUUUUUGGUUUGCAUAAAGGUCAAAAAAUUUUCUUUAUUUGGUCGUAAAGAUGAUAAACUUUUGGUUUGGUUGGUUAUUUCUGUUUUCAGUUGUGGAAGAUGGAUCGAACUGGAGCAUGGGACAGAGACAGCUGUUCUGUUUAGGCAGAGCAGUGUUGAGAAGAAGCAGAGUAUUGGUCCUUGACGAAGCAACAGCGUCGAUAGAUAACGCCACAGAUUUGAUACUUCAGAAAACAAUCCGGCGAGAAUUCGCCGAUUGCACCGUCAUAACCGUCGCUCACCGUAUCCCCACCGUUAUGGAUUGUACAAUGGUUCUCUCCAUCAGCGACGGUGAGUGUUAUUGCAUCAUUUUAAUUAGUUCUUCUUUUUUUUUGUAGAAAGUUUGUUUUCUCUGAGUCUUGAAAUUUUGUUUUGAUUGAACUUUAGGACGAAUUGUGGAGUAUGAUGAGCCGAUGAAACUGAUGGAGAAUGAAAACUCUUUGUUCGGAAAGCUUGUGAAAGAGUAUUGGUCUCAUUACCAAUCGGCUGACUCGUGUUGAUGAUGAUGACACAAAAUCUCGAAAAAUGUAAUUUUUAGAACAUGUUCUUGAAUAAAACACAACGAAUUCAUACAUCAAAUUCUAGUUACACAAAACUUUUGACCAUAACUAAACCAACCCGACCUUUUUUCUAGGGGUGAUGUGAUCUAUUAAACACCAACAAAAGUCAUAUAACUAAUAACUAAUAAGCAAAGAUAGUUCAUCACGUUGAUAACGUCACGCAUUCUGUUUAACUAAGAGAACUAAUCAAGGGCAUACAUUAAACAAAGUGAACUUAAUAAAACAGAGUCCGCAAACAUGUACAUAGAUAUGAAGAAGAAGAGUAUUUGGUUAUUUGGAAAGACUUGUUAGAGUUAUUCCCUCCCUUGGACUAGUGAAUACCAAUGCUCAUGGUAGAUUGGUAGACUACCAUCAGCUAGGUUUCUAUUUUUCUAAUUAGGGUCAGAAUUAAAAUCUAAUAUCUAAUCUAUAAUGUAUUGCUUGUAACGUGGAUCGUAUGGACCAAUUAGCACAACAACAAAUCUGCUCUGCCUGUGGCUAGUGUUUGACAUCCUAAAAGCCAAGACUCAUAGUUUUUGGAAGAACCAAGAAUCACAAAGAUCAUGAGAGACACUCAGCAACAAAAAAAGAAGCAAAAAACAAAGAUCAUGAGAGUCAAAAAAUACUGGCUCGUAAGAUUAUAUCUCUUUAUUUUGAAGAAUUAUAUAAGAUUUAGGAGAGUCAUCCUCUCACGAUGAUUUACUUUUGGGAGCAUGAGCUGGGUUUCUAUUAAGUCUGAUUAGUAUCCAUAAUGUAAUUCUAGUACUAAUUAAUAUAACCUAUAAAUUUAUUAUAUAUUGCUUGUAACGUGGACAGUCUUUGAGACACAUAGUGCGAGGAAAAUCUAUAGCAAGAUUAUAUCUCCCCUCACGACUGUUGACUUUUGGGGAGCAUUGGCUGGGUGUCUAUAUGUCUAAUUCGGAUCCAUAAUCUCAAUCCAACAUAUAAUAUAUUGUAGGUAACGUGGACAGUCUGGCGACAGAUCUUUGGGAAGAAAACUUAAUGUAAAUUUUGUUACAAGUUGGAGAAAGUAAUGUAUUAAGAGAAAUAAAUCUUUGGUUGGUUCAAUGCAUAAUCGCGUAUAAUUUUGUAAGUUGGUCAAUCUUUUAAUUAAGAAAAUAUGAACCUGCUUGAUAAUUAAAUAUAUGCGAGCUGUCGACUGAAGAUACAAAUAUAUAGGGGACACAAGACUUGGAAGCACAUGCAUCAAAAAAUUCAAAAACCAAAGCGGUAAGGAAAAUGAGUGAAUACCAAAGCAGUGAUGAGGAAAAUGCUGAAAACCAAAGGAGUGAUGAUGAAGAAGAAAUUGGUCAAAGCAGUGAGGACGAAUGGCCUAAUUCAGAUGGGAGCCGGAGAUGCAUUGUCUCUGACCCAUCUCACCCUCACGAACUCUCCCGUCAAGCCGGUGUUAAGACUAAGCAAAAGUGCUUUUCUUGCGGAAAAAGAAGCAUUACUUGGGAGCUAGCACACGAUAAGAACUUCCAUUACUCCUGCACCAUCUGCCAAGUAGAGUUCCACCGUGAAUGUCGCAAGGUUCCAAGUAAGAUGAUUCACCCUUAUCACCCUCAACACCCUCUCACUUUUACCUUUCUACACAAAAAAUCCGGGACGAUACUUGACACCAAUUACGGUGAACACUACAACUUUCUUUUCAGUUACAUGUCUAUAGGAUUCCAAAACACUUAUGAGACAUUAGCCAGCUCCAAUAUCAUGUUUGAUAAAUGCACUUGGUGUGGCGAUGCUAUUGAUCAUGAGUUUUUCUAUCGCUGUCUAAUAUGUAACUUUUCCUUGGAUCUCCAAUGUGCUAGAAUGCUUAAUUUACCUCUUACAAUUCAAAAUCCAAAAAGCCAUCACCAUUCACUCUCUUUGUUCCCUCGUCCACUUUCAUUUCCUUGUAAUGCUUGUGGACUGAUCAAAGUGUUGGAGGCAGGCUAUGCUUGUUACCAGUGCAACUACGUUGUUCAUAAAUAUUGUAUUGAUUUACCACGCGUCAUAAAGAUCACGCGUCAUCCUCAUCGACUCUCUUACACUCCUUACCUUCCAACCAAAGUUUCAUCAUGCCGGGUCUGCUACAAGAAUGUUGACAUCAAGUAUGGUCAAUAUUCUUGCAAUCAUAGGGAUUGCUCUUAUGUAGCUCAUUCAAAAUGUGCAACGCAUUAUCAAGUAUGGGAUGAGCAAGAACUCGAGUGGGAACCCGAAGAAGCUGACGAAACUGAAGCUGUUGCGCCAUACAAGAAAGUAGGUGGUGGUUUGAUACAACAUUUUGGUCAUCAUGAAGAUCAUUAUCUAAAGCUCGAGAAAUACGAUGGUUCAAGAGACUCGGGAAAGCAAUGCCAGGCGUGUAUGCGUUAUAUCACCUCUCAUGAUGAUUUCUACAGCUGCAUCGAAUGUGCUUACUUUCUCCAUGAAGUAUGUGCCAAUCUUCCUAGAAAACUGGAUCAUUUGUUGCAUAUCCACUCUCUUUACUUGUACCCGUCGUAUACUCAAUUCUACUGCGAUUACGGUGACUUAUGGUGCUGCCAUUGUACACGAGAGUCAAGUGGUUGGAUGUACAUAUGCAUAAGAGACGAAUGUAUCAAAAACAGUUCAGUAUUUCACCUAGAUGUUAACUGCAUUUCAGUUCCCGAGUGCUUCACCCAUGCAAGUCAUGCAGAACAUCCUUUAUUCGUUGCAACCGGAACCCGUAGUGGAAUUCUCUGCCAAGGUUGCAAGAAAGAAACUUUUCGGUAUCAUCUACAUUGUACUAUAUGCGAAUUUGCCAUAUGCUACGAAUGCUCCACAAUUCCAAAUGAGAUAUACUACAAAUAUGAUGAGCAUCCUCUCUCCCUUUGUUAUGAAGAAAGUGGCGUGGAUCACACGUACUGGUGCGAAGUAUGUGAGAAAAGUUUAGAUCCAACGGAAUGGUUCUACACAAGUAGCCAAGGUUGCACCACAAUCCACCGUAAAUGUUUAUUCGGAGAUAUUGGUUACAUGAAGUCUGGUCACACAUUUGAUUACAAGGAUUAUAAGGUGGAAGUGGUUGGCAAUGGUCGUAGCUCUCGUCCCAAAUGUCAGGUAUGUCGCCAACGUUGCCUACUUCCCUUAUACUUGAAAUUGUAUAAGCCGGAUGGGACUGAAGUUGCUAUUUGUUCUUUUCGUCACCUCUACGGAGGAAUCAAGUGAGAUGUUUUUUUUUUUCUUCUUUGUAUUUUCAUUUCGUUUUGUAUUAAGAUCACACCUCUAGUAAAAAAAAAUGCUCUUUUUCAAUUUCUAGAUUUUCUCUUUUCUUCCUCGUUUGAAUCUGGUUUGCCAAACUCUAUAUAUUGAGGUAUAUUGUUUGUAAUCUCUACUUUUUUUUCUGUUAAGGUAUUGUUUGUAAUACAUCUGAACUAUUUUUUUCCUUCGUAAAUAUUUUCUCCGAUAUGACUGUUCUUAUUUGAGAUAAGUCGCAACUUCAUUAAUCAAUAGAGGAUGACAAUUCAAUUCAGUUCAUAGUACAACAACAAAUCUGCCUCUGGCUAGGUUUGACAUCCUAAAAGCCAAGACUCAAAAGAUUUUCUAUGACGAACCAAUCACUGAGAACAAGAGAGAAAACGCUUCUCAAUCAUCAAAAAAUACUGGCUCCUAUAAGAUUGCAUCAUUGAGUGUAUAUGAGAAACAACUGGAAUGACUCUUUUGAUCUAAAUCAUAAUGCGAUUCUUCUUUACAUGGAUUUGUUUUGUUUCUCGGGAAGCACCAGAAACUCAUGCGUCAUCGAUUAGUAGAGCAUUUGGGACGUGAAGUUACUGACCUGAGUUUCACCGGGUUUCUUUACAUCUAUUCAAGAGUCUUCUCAGGUUUUGUAGUGUGGUUCUCUAAGUUAUCAGGCCGCUUGCUUGUGUCAGCUGAUUCCUCUGUGGUCUCGACAAUCUCCAUACUCGCUGUUCUACUCCUCCUAUUCCUCCGCUCCUGCAAAGAAGAAAACACUCCUUUGUUGAUAUAGAUUGCUGUAGAUUUAGACCAUCCCUAGUUACAACUUACUGACUUACAGUAUUAAAGUUUUAAAAAAUCCCAGAGAACUCAUUAAUACCUCACGGAAAGGAUGGUCAUCGGAUUCAAGCAUCCGCACAACCUGGCUCAUUUUGGGUCGUUUUUCUGACUCGGGAUCUACACAUCUCAGGGCAACAAGAAGUGCACGUUUCAGAGCACGUGUAGCGGGUUUGGGUUCAAUCUUUGGAUCAAUUACUUCUUCAGCUCUUCUUGUUCCAACCAUCAUCUUUAACCACUCGACCAGAUUCACCUUCCAAUGAGAACACAUGUUUCAGCACCAAAUUAGCAUAUUCAUAACUCUUGGAUACAUUGACAAAGCAUACAAAUAUAGCUACCUCAUUAGCUGGACGUUCAUAAUCAACUGGAUCUCUUCCAGUAAUAGCUUCUAGAAGCAGGACACCAAAGCUAUAGAUGUCACUCUUCUCGUUUAAUAGACCAGUGUUUGCAUAUUCGGGUGCUACAUAGCUGACGCACAUAAACAGACCUUUCAUAAGAAUGAAGACUUUUCCCAUCAACGCCAAAAAGGUACAGAUUUUAGACUUACCCAAAAGUGCCCAUGACUCUGGUCGUGAUAUGGCUCUCACCCGAGUCUAAGAGCUUGGCUAACCCAAAAUCGGAAAGCUUUGCAUUGAAGUCAUCAUCAAUCAGGAUAUUGCUUGCUUUUAUGUCUCUGUGGACUACUUUUGGUUCUAUUGCUUCAUGCAGAUACGCAAGCCUGUAAAAUGUAGAUGCAGAGCAUGUUACUAUCCCCUUCAACGAGUUAUAUGUAAAAUUUCAAGUCAAAGGUCCCACAACAGUCAUAUUUUGACCAACUUACGCUUGUGCAGUACCAAUAAGGAUCUUCAUGCGUGCCUCCCAAGUGAGAGUGCUGUGUUUCCCCAUGGCUCCAUGUAGCCAUUGUUCUAAGUUACCACUAUUCACAUACUCAUAAACAAGCAUCCUGCAUCACAUCGACAAAGAAACAAAUUCAUUAGACUAGUUUCUACUCAUUGCAUUAACAAUAAUUGAAUAUUAUUUUGGCGGUACUACAACAAAUCACCCAUUAGACUAAAUUAGUAGCAUUCAGACUGAUAAGAGGCAAGUGAGACUCACCGAUGAACACCCUCUAUGCAAUAUCCUAGAAGCCUUACAAGAUUCUUGUGCCGUACAUGACCAAUAGCCUCAACUUCAACCCGGAAUUCCUUCUCAGCCUGUCCCCUAGAGACAAAAUUAUGAUUGGAUUAGUAUGCGAGUAAAAACAAAGCAAACACAAGGUGAACAGACAUUUGAUUAUACCAACUUACAGAUUGUUGAGAAGCUUCUUUACAGCAACAUCGUUACCGUUGAUGAGUCUACCCUUAUAAACUACUCCAUAACCACCCUCACCAAUUACAUUUUCUGCAGCAAAACGAUUGGUGGCUAGCUGAAGAUCCCUAAGAGUAAACCAGUGUCCCCAACCAAGAUGAGAUAUUUCUGGCAAACCAACCAAAGGAGAUGCAGUUACAAGCCCACCCUGCGAUAGGGAUGAUUGUCUCCAUGCGGUUCCAAAGCUUCCUUCUUCACCGGAGUGAGAGCUGCAAGCUCUCUCAUGAUGAUGCACAGAGCUACAACGACUUAUACUAUCAUUGUCACUAGACUUGGUUCUUCCCAAGUAAGACAUCAUCUUUCCUGAGUUUCUCUCACUCGAUUUAUCAGCAACUGUGAUACACAAGUUUUCAUUGUGAUUUUGGAUCCCAGGUCUAUCAUCAACUCUGAUAUCUUUCGCCACGCGUGGUAUUUGGUUGAAGGGUAACAACUUGUGAGAUGAUUUGCGGGAUUUUCGGCGGAAUGCAAUCCACAGAGAUACGAUGCAGAGAACCAAAACUACGAAUGCGCCAACUACUAGACAAAUCAAUACCCAAAGUUUCACAUCCGCUAAACCUAAAAAUGAGAUCUUCUUCGACAUUUCAGCACUCAAAGGGCUCUCAGAUGACAUCCUUGGUCCUGUAUCCAGUGACAAAGUGUCUUCCUUUUGCUCACAACUUCACAAUUCCCAACGACGCAACAAGAAAACGUUUCAAAUUAACGUCUUUUCAUACAUCAAGAGGACUAAGAUAUGUCUGACUUUCAAAAACCAUACAAGCAAACGAAAGGUCUAUGUUUUUAUUCAUCCCAAUGUAAUCAAAUCUGAAAACUGGGAUUCUUGGACAAAUGGAAGAAUCUAAUAAUGGCAAGUAAAGCUGCCGACUCAGAAGUCUCUAUAACUACUUCGACCAGAAACGCUGACACAUACAUAAACAGACACAGGACUCAAAAAAAGCACGCGCAAUUUCAGCAAUUUAUUGCGGCAUAUCAACAAACAAGUUAUGUGCAUUAAGUGUUUCCUCCAUUCGUCACCAAAUUGAAAUCGAGGAUUAAAAGAUAAAAAGGAAACCCGUCUCUCAAACAAUUACAGAAGAAUCACUUACGCUUGAAGCAAGAGACAUUAUACAGAAGAAUCAAAUCAUAAUGCUACCGAAAGAAAACAUUUCAGAAUCUUUUUUUACCUUAGAAUGUAGCGACUAAGCUCUUGCUCUUUCGAUUCACAUCCGCUUAGAGCAGAAGAAAACAAAUAGGAUAAAGGUUCCGCUUUUCUUUGAUUUUGAAGCAAACCAAAGAGAAAUUGAAGUAAAGAAGAUGACGCAAUUAGCAAUAGAUAUAUAUACUAAUGGUGAUUUGCAAUUGAAGUUUCUCUCAAAGCUUACGCUUUUGAACCCAGAAAAUACACCCAGGAAAAAAAACCCUCGAUUUAGGUAAUUACAAUAAGGGUUCAGAAGAAUGAAAGAUAGCUCAACUAUUGAAAAAUGGAGGAGUAUACAGAUACACAGAAGGAUGAAUGUAAGUAAGGAGGAUUAAAGAGAGAUAGGGUUUGUAGAUUAGGAUUUAAUGAGGGGUUAAAGGGAGGGAAAAAAGUUGGGUGAGAUUGUUGGUGAGUCUGUUCUAAAGCUGGAAAGAAAGCUUGAUUUGCAAUUUGAGGAAACAAAACAAUAAAAGAGAUAGAAAAAAGAAAGAGAGAGCAGUGAAGGGAAAGCAAAGAAGGUGAUCUUUGACAACUGUGGCAUUUAUAGCUGGAUGAAUAAAAUUGAUUAUAUUCCAUUAUUUUUCAAUUGAAAAUAUUUAUUUUUGUAAGGUAGAAAGUAAAUAAAAUUUGGAUAAAAAACCGAAGUGGAUAAGAGAUUGAUUAACAAGGCAACGUACAAAAGAAGGUGUUCACUGUUUCUCACUUAUGCAGCCUUUGGAUUUUAUCUUCUCAGAUAUGCCAAGUUGAAUAAAUUCUUGUUUGACUUCAAAAUUGAAUCUAAGUUUGAUUUUCUGUACUUAGAACUCCAGUAAACAUGUUUGAAAAUGAAGAAACAUAAUGUAAGACCUCAUCUUAUGCUUUACGAUUUUGUUCUUAAUAAUAGAACUGCUUUCCUUGAUAUCCCCCAUUUUUUUGCGGCUAUGUAUGAAUUAUGAUUGUAUGACAUUAGUAUUAUUGUUUUAUUUUGUUUUUAUCCAUUAUACAAUACAGCAUUUGUCACAUUCAAGAAAAAAAGCCAAAUAAAAAAAGGUAUUUAUUAUAUAAAGAGUGGGUUGUGUCUCACAAACUUGACACAUCAUCAUUUUCUUUUUUGACACAUCAGCUCUCUAAAAUUUAAUUUAGAAUUUUUUUUUAAAAAAAAGAAUAUGAAAAAUCAGAGUACGUCACAGCCUCCUCUAUUUAAAUCACAUAGUUCAAGAUGAAUUUAAUUAACAAUAAAAAUUCCAAAGCUUUUUUUCAUACAAAUUUCUCUUCUUAUUAAUGGUUGUUUCGGAAAACCAUUAGUUCCCUCCUCACCUUUCAUAAUUGUAUCUCAUCAGAUACUCUUAUAAUUUCAUUGCUUCCACUUGGAUUGUGGUGAUUCUCGACACUUAAAGAUAUAUGCUCGUUCGUUCAACUGAUUGAUCGGAUGUGAUGGUCAUAUCAUAUAUAACUCAUUUACUCAAAUUUGAACCGUCUGAAGGGAAAGUUAACAAAUGAAAAUGGCUCGGAUCUGAGUGGAAAUACUCAGAUUAUUUUGCUUGGUGUUCCUUUCUUGACGAAAAGAGAUUUGCGUGAGGUUAUUCCGUGCAUCUAGAUUAAGUUAUACAGUAUAAAGAGAUGAACACGGCUCGAUUUCAAUUGUUUGAUGAAGUUCCUUAGAGAGCUUUCUAUUGUAGUAUUGCGAGUAAUGAGUAGUAAAUAAAAUUGUCUUGGUUUAUUUAUUUAGUUAUAUAUAAAUAUGUAUAUAUUUCCAUGAAACUCUUCUGGUAUCAGUCACCAAAGUUUACAUCGCUUCUGGUAUUUUACAACUCAGAGUUCUUUUGUUCAUCAAUUAUUAUAAGUAAGGAAAAUAUUUACAUAUAUAUUGUAAGCAUAUGACUGUGCUUAAUUUUGCAGGGAAAUGAUCGCUUAUAUUGUAAACAUAUUAGUUUUUAUACUUGAGUACAAACAGAAAUUAGUUACUCGAAAAUUUUGCUAAGAAAAAACAAUUAUAUUUUCCUUUUUCUAUUUGUUCACCAGCACAACUUUUGCUAUAUUGGAUUUGUUUCUCUUGUAAAUUGCAGUGGUGUUAUUAUCGUUGAAGGCAUUCUUAGCGCCAGAAAGUCUCUUACGAAGGUGUUCUUUCACGUUUGAUUUUUAGAAUUUUAUUUUUUAUCUGUUUUUAGACUAUAUAAACAAAGGUUUUCCCCUAAAGUUUGGUAUUUUUUAUUUCUAAUUGUCAAGGUUAUUUUUGAUUUUUCCGGUUGUAUGUCCAACUUUUCCAUUGUGGCUGUGUUGGAGUUUUGUACUCAUUGCUACAUCGCUUUGGCUAUUGCCUGGAUUAGAAAGAAUCCAUCAUACUCACGUGAUCUAGAAAAUAUAAUCGUUUUACAUAAAUGAAGUUUACAUUGUGAGAAUGCGAAACUUGGUUUGGUAAAUGCAUUAUGUAUGAAAAUUUCCAAAAUAAAAAAAUGGUAAUAAAGAAGGGAAGUUAGUUCAUGAGAAUAUUUCUAUAGUAAUGUUGGUGAACUAAGGGAUCUAGAGUUUGUAACAAGUUUGAAAUAAUGUGCCAUUCUUAAGGAUUAAAAAUUUAAAAUCAACAAAGAUUUUAUUAGAUUCUUGCUCAUUCUUAAGGAUGACUUGAUUCUUUGUCCUAGAGACUUACCGAAGCAGUUUCAAAGGAGUUAGAGAUUCUCACAAUUCUUUGCUCAUCAGUUCGUGUCAUAGGGUGUACUGAUCAUCCAUAUGAUUUAUAAUUCAAAGUUAAGUCCAAAUAAUUAAACCACUUAUCAUUUCACAUUACAUACAGAGCACUUCAUCAUCUACAAAAUAAAAAUUAUAAUUCAUGAUUCAAUAAAUAUUUUGUGAAAAUCUCUUUAGGAGAAAAAACGUUUGGGUUUCAUAAAAAAAUUGUUAGAAUCUCUUCUAAAAUUUACAUAAUUUUAGUUUGAGUACAAAAUUUUAUUUUUUUACCAUGGAAUUUCUAAUAUAAAAUUAAAAAUACCAAAAUGAACAAAGCUAAACAAUAAAACUUCAUUACCAACAAAAAUAUAUAUAAAGACUCCGCGCAUAUGCACGGGUAUACUCCUAGUAUAAACAAAAUUUAAGUUUCAUCAUCCAUCAUAUAUCAUUAUAUCCCACGACCCUCGGACAUUUAAUUGGUGUGUGUAUCGAGCAAUAACUAUAAGAUAUUAAUAUUAUAACCAUCCACAAUCAAGUCAAAAAGAAUAAUCGAGUUUCCAUGAUAACAUACAAGAAUUUACGGUCAGUUCAUUAAUUUUUUUUUUUUUUGGCUCAUCGACUUCUCACCAAAAAUAAUUAUUAGGAUAUAAUUCAAGAUUUAAAGAAAUCAACUUUCCUAUUAUUAAAGACCAUAUGUCAAAAUCAUUGUGAUAACUACAACACAUGAGUGAUGAUGAGGGUGAGGUGUCCCAGUCCAAAGAAACAACUAGUAUAAUUUAGAUCCUAUAAAAUUAUAGACAACUAUUGAACUAUAUUAAACGACAACGUUUUGAAGACAACGGCUGUAGCUUAAGACCCAAGAAACCAACUAACAGAGUAAGUGUGUUAUUGGUUUACUUGUACGAAGAAGCUUCUUUAUCUUUCCGGCCAGCGAGGAUCAUAGAGAUCUGAAGGCCUCUGCUAAACGCUUGGUUGAAAAGAAGACGAGCUUGGAACUCAGAAACAAUGGGGAACCAAGACAGAACAGCGAUUGGUGCGAAGAUUACAAGUCCCAUUAUCUUCUCAUACGCUCUUCCCAAUUCCUUCAACGAGUCCCAAAUCCCUAAAGCUUUGAUCGGUGACCUCAGUACUUGCCCAAUCUGACAAAAAGGAAAAAAUCCAACAGUUAUUCUAAUCAAGAACAUGAUGCAAGUAUUAUGACUUGUGAAGAGGGUUUUGAUGAAUGUUAUUACCAAAAGAAUGGCCCAACCGGUUGGAAGAAAAGCAAGAAUGGAAGCAGAGAGAUCGGUGAGUGUGAGUUGGCACACCACAAAUAGCACAGUCAUGACUGACAAGAAGCCGAGGAAGAGGAGUGCCUUAAGAAUCCUGAACAUUAGCUGAAAAUCCGUUCCAAAUCUUCGUCUGCCCAUAGAUACCAUCUGAUACUCAGAAAUGAAUCACAGUAAAGUGAGUUAAGCAAUAAACAUUGAUUAAUGACUACACCAUAUAAUAUAUAAAACGAGGAAGGAUUUGUGAAACCUUUAGAACAAGUAAUGAUGUGAGCAAAACCACCCAAGAGAGUCCAUAAACCUACAAAAAGGAGGUAAAUAGAGAUUGAGGCUAUUGGAUCAUAAUAGACCAGAAACUAAAAGUUGCAAGAAAAAUGAUGAACUACAUUUUUUUUUUUUACCAAAAAGCUUUUGCUGUUCUGAGAGAUAUUGAGCUGGUAAACAAUGCCAUACUGAUAAAUGAAAAACCGAAGAGCAAGUGUGAUUUCCAAAAUCCUCCCUCUUAUAUUCGUGUGUCUGAGAUGUUCUUGCUCUACGUUCCACCAAGAUUCCCAGCUUUUAUCAACUGGGAUACCUAUACCACCUCGAUCAUUAAGCCACCGUUUCCAAUCAGUCCAAUCGUCAACCGUCUUUUGCCACUCAAAUCCCGAAGGAUUGAAUAUGAAUGGUGCAAACAACCAAGAGCCAACCAUGAACCACAUCGAGACCGUGAUAUACAGAUAAAGGUUUGAACUACGGUAUGAAUGCCCAUAGACUUGAUAAACGACCAGCAAUACAAGCAGCUCUAGUCCCUUAACAAAGUGACUUCUCGAGUAUAACCUGUAGUUUUCCGCAAACUUAGCAUGAAAAACAACAAACCCACGCCCCGUUGGUCUAUAUUUGGAACCGCCGUGUAAAAUUGUUCUCCCGUAAUAAUGUGACUUUGUACCAAGCUGGAACGUGAAGAACACGGAAGCUAGCUGCAGCUGCAUUAUGAAAAAAUCGACAAUAGCAGAGCGAAACCCUUUUUCCAAGCCGAUUUCCAUCACCAUCGGCAACACCAUCAAGAAACCAAGCUGAAAUAUUGACUGUGUAGCCAGAGCCUGCUCAAGUGCCUCGAGCUGAUUAGGGCUUGCGAGCCGUAGGAUCUCUUUCUCCAGUCCACUCAUAACCAUGUACAUACGUCCAUACAAGAAUGCAUAAACCGUGAUCACGGUGAGCUGAAACAUAGCCAUUUUGAUUAAUAUGCAACCAUGCAAAAACUAAGAGAAGACGUAAGAUACUAACUGUGGGGGCAUACCAUGCUACUGAAAUAGAAGCCAAUAGUCGUAAAAUAGAAUGAGAGCAUCCUGUAAAAGUCAAACCGAUGGCCCAAACGGUAAGCAUCACGGCUUAGCGUUUGCUCUCCAUUUCCAUUUGCUACUUUGGCUUCAAAAAUCGAGAUAGGGUUCAACCCCACGUCACGUCCUUUUCCAACUUGGAUAUACUCAUGAUGUGUAACGUAUCCCCCACGGAGAGUUGAAUUGAAGCCUGCAUACAUUGAUAAACAAAAUCAAAUCGCUGCUAUAGCUUAACUAUGAAACAUUUAGAGAGAAAAGAUGACGUUACCUCCGAAGAUAUCCUCACUCAAAUUUAUUACUUUCGAAGCCUUGCUCACACCACCCCUUGUUAUGUGGAAGAUUCUGUCAAAUAUGUCAGGAUGGCCGUAAUGGAAACGAACCCUGCAUCGAUAAGAGGAACAAUGAGAAUGUGAACAUAAUUGUUGAAUCCUGAAGUCUGAAGAACAUACCUCAGAGGAUUUGCCAAUAUUCUUUGGCCAAUUGUCACAAAACUACUCUCCUGAUUGGACAUGAACCAAGCUAAUGACGAAACGCUAUACCAAGAAAGGGAGAAAAGUAAGAAUACGUACGCCAACGCAUAGUCACUUCCAUGAUUUAAGACUGAUAUCUUGCAAGUGCGAGUGUACCUUCCUGUAAAUAUAUGUUCUCGGAGACCCAAAAUGGUUGGCUUGCGUCUGCCAACACGCUCCUUUUUAAAUUCUUCCAACACAUUUCUUAAUUUGAAAGCUUCUUCAAAGUAAUUAUCCUGCACAGAUACUAACCAUGAGGAUAAGGUACUCAAUCUACGAGUUAUGAGAAUGAAGAAGAAUACAUACUUGAUUCAUAUCUAUAGUUUGUAGCGCUUCACCACGUGUAAAUAUGAUAGCGUGAUUUUGAUUUUCAGGCUUUCCUUCACCAAUCUCAGCUGGAGGACCAGGAAGCUUGAUGCGGUAGAUUUCCUAAUGAUGGAAGACAUAUUCACGUUAAGACGAAUGAUAUGUAAAAAUGGAAAACAAUAUAUACAAUGAGUAUGACAGAUCAAAAAAAAGAGAAGCAAAGUUAUAUGAUUUUCAUGUAAACUCAAUAGCUUUUUAUAUGAUUUCUUUGUACCUCAUCAAACUUGUUGCCUCCUUUGAGAAGUACAGAGUAAAAGACCUUUGGAGAUUUUGCAUUUGCUGUCUCCUCCCUUUCAUCUACAUAAGCCACCCGUAAUGAUGGAUAUCUAGAGAAUUGACACGGUUAGAGCAAAAGAACCAAGAUAAGUCUCAUCAAAAUGUAUCAAAACUAAUCAUACUUCAGCAUGAGCUGCAGAAUAUUCGUGUAGCAACUUCGGUUGAUGAUAUCACCGGACUUUUUCUGAUUUCCGUAAACCUGACAAGAAACAACAUAAGUGAACUUGAGAUCUGCAAGAGCUUUAGCACGUUCCAGGAAAGCCUUCUGAUUGUCAUCAUUGGAUGCCAUGGCCUGAUAGACACUAAACUUGGCUGCAAAGAAGUAACAAAAUAGUAAAUAAAGAAUCUCAGGUUUUGGUUCCAGAGGCAACUGGCUCAGAAAGCACAAACCGUUUUCCCCUGAAACUUCCUGGUAGCAUUGAAGCUCCAGAGCCUGCCUAUAGUACAUCAUACCCCUAACUGGCAGAAGUAACCAAACAAAGAUUAACUAUAGAUAGACAAGGUAUACUUAAUUAAGAACAAUAUGAUUUACGUUUUAAGCAGUUUUACCUGUUCUAGCUAGCGUCUGACCUCUGUAUGAUACCCACUCUCGAAGGAACUCUGACUUGUCUUUCUCAGGAAGCUUAGGAUUAUUUACACGAUCCAAAAAAUUGGUCCACUCGUCUAGUUCACGUAUGAUCAACUCAGUAAACUUGAAUAUGUAAGAAAAUAAAAUGUGCUGGUUUUGUCAAGAAUCAAGAACGUACCAGGAUAAAUCUUUUGUAGGUAAAACAAUAUUGAGAUCCCAUCUUCAUUUUCCUUGUUAAGCUCCUCCUCUGAAUAUAGAACAUCUUCUUUGUAAUAAGGAGUUAAAACACUGAAAUGAACAAAAUCAAUGUGUAUAAUUCAGAUACAUAAACCGACGGAUUAUUAAGAAAUGACAUUCCAUAACAGAUUGGUAUUCACCUGAACGAGAGCAUAUCUCGUAUUCUUGGAGCAUUAGGCAUAUUCAUAAACAGAGAAUUAGCAAAGAAUGUGAUACGGCGGCGAGCUUCCAAGUUUUGAGGAACGUUUAUGGCAGAUUCUUUGACCGACAAGAGCAAGUGAAGCCGAACAACCUACAACAAAGAAGAUUCAGAUAUCAUACAAUAGGUUCAAAUAAAGUAUACUAAUUUGCUGGAAAAACUACCUUCUCUCGCCAGCAUUUAUCUUCUAUGAGGUGAAUAUUAAUUUUCUCAAACCUCUGUUCCUUUUUUUCAUUUUUGAUGUCAGGAGAAUGAACACGAGCCCUUUCAAGAAUUCUACAACAAGAAUCAAUUAGUGGACGUCAUGAACUGCUUCUGAUGCUAUAUUUUUAUAGGAAUAAAAUGCAUCUCCAGUACUUACUCAUGGCCAUUAACCAAGAGAUCUUGAGUGAUAAUUUCGAUAACAUCCUGAAAGACAUUAAUUAACUGAGACUUGUAUGUCCCCUGGUCUUCGUAGUCACUCAACUGUUUGUAUAUUUAGAACAUAAGCACAAGAAACGGUUUCAAGCAUUAGUUCCUGUGUAAGGCCUUGUGUAGUGAAUGAGUGGAGUUACAUAUUUUAAUAUUACCAAUAUACUUAGAAACUUCUCCAGCUUAUCACUAAGGAGCGGUAAUCCACUCAUUCGGAAAUCAUAAAUAAACGUCUGCUGCUGUAUGCUCAUGUCCACUUCUAAAAACACCUGAUUCAUGACCCUAAUCACAAUUUUCAAAGAGAGAAAAAUGUGAAUUCAUGAAGCAUGGCUCAAGAUGCAUAUAUGAUAGGAAAAUCUGACCAUUGGAAGAAUAACAUGAUGAAGCUGGUAUACCUUCUAUCCGCUUCAUCUUCCAGUAGAGCGGAGAUUAUUUUCUUCAGUGUCUCAUAACUCUCAAUAACAGCAAAAUGCAUGUAGCUAUCACUCUUAAUCUUUCUAAAUAGUUCAGCAUCCUCUUUUCCCCUGAAAUCUUUUGCCAUGUCCACAGCAAUGGGAAUCUACAAUGUUGAAAAAAUUAAGAAACUUUUAACGAAUCUGGUUGAGUUCAAAAUUUCUAAGAAUUGGCAUUGAGAGGAUGUUUGAAAAUUAUGAACCUUUCUCAUUGAAAUAAUAACAAGGGACAGCUAUAUUCCAAUGAUAGAACUUUUUAGACCUUUAUGGUGAUUAAGCAUCUUAACAAAAGAAUUGAGAACUCAGGCAUUUUGAUCAAUCGAAUCAUUAUUUGCUACUAGAAUGGAAGGAAGUCCUCCAAAAAAAAAAAAAAAAAACCAAAUAUUUAUUACCUUACUAGCAAGCAAGAAAGGUGGCCACUGGAUGACAGAUACAUCACCCGAAGAAGAUGGUACGAGCAGCAAAUCCCUAUCUCUGAGGUACAGCACAUAAUAGGAAACGUUACAUGACAUACAUGCUUGCUGUACUAAGAAACAGGACAAGGAUGACAAGUGUGUUUUCUACAAGAAUAGAGUCCAACCUGUCACUGAUCUUAUCCUCGCUUCUCAUAGAGAUAAUGAACUCGUUCCACACUUGGGAGAAAUUUGUGAUGUUUUUCUGGUCCACAUAAUCAUCCUAUACUUCACAUAAAGAAUCGAUCAAUGACAUGACAAGGGAAAGAAAGGUGCAUUCAUGUAUUAAAGUACUUAGCCGUAAACUUCUGAAAUAUGAAAAACGCAGUACCGCAUGUUUUCUUUUUGCAUCUUCUGAUGGCAUGAGGGUGCGGCUGAAGGCAAUUGGUAUUGACUCAAAUCUAGACCGCAACAUCCCAAGAGUUCGUAUCUACGAAAACCCAAACGUGUCAAGAAGUAAACAUUACUGAAACCAAAACAGUUAACUAAUAACUAGCAAUGUUUAUUCUUGUGCGGUAUUUCUGAGGGUAAAAAUAUCACUUACUUCUCCCAAAUGACUGAAGGCCCCAUGUAUGCCUCCAAACAGAGUGGAAAAAAUGGCGUACCAUAUUUGAGUAUCCAUCAGGUAAACCUACUCAAAAUAUCAAACACGUAAGCCAUACAUAACAUCAUUUGUUUCUUUCUUGGAAGCUCUUUCAGUCUCUAGUUUCUUACCAGUACAAUUGGAGCCCAUACAGCAACAACCACUCCAAUAUUGUUAGUUGCUAUAUAGAAUCAUAAAUUGGUUAAGGCAAGCAUGAUUAAAUGUACAUUGCAACAAGAAAGGAGGGUAAACUGAAAACUUACCAUGUGGAAAAAACUCAUGCCACUGGUAAUUAUCAAUGUGCAAAUUCAUUAUCAUCUUUGUUGGCGUAAUAAGGGGUAGUAUCUGUUUGCAAGAUAUAAUGAUAGUCAUCAAAUGCAUAAAGAAAAAUAUAUGUAUCUAGACAGCCUACUCUGGAGUGUAACUAUAAGUCAAAGAAAGUAAGAUGAAAGCAAAAUCCAGACCUCCACAUAAUAGUUGAAAGCAAGCUUGCUGAUUAGUAGCAUAAUCCAGAAGGAGGUAUACCUGAGCAUUAUAAGUUGUGCUAUAUGAGAACAGGCUAAGAGUUAAAGAAAAAUCUUUAUGAAGUUAGAUGAUGCUAACAGGAAAUGUAAUAAUCACUCACUUGAAGAGAGAGAGCAUGUCCUCAUGCAUACCUCGUCCAACAUAUAGUUUUGGCUACAAGAUGGAGAAGCAUAAAGAAACAAAGAUGACAAAAAGAAAAACAAAAGUGAAAACCAGUAUAUUUAAGAAAUCACAAGAAUAAAAAUUUAAGACUUGCCUGAGCCCACCACAUGAUAAGCUUGAUAACUCGCAUGUCUGAACACUCCAUGAUUCUCCGGAAUGGUGGAAUAAGGAACAAGAAAGCAGCCAGUAUGUUUGGUAACACGUAAAAUGAAACUGUGUAUGUAUAAAAAGACUUAUCCUUCCAGUCACCAGUCCAAGUGCUGAAGAACUUCACAACUCCAGUAGGUCGUUGCACAGACUUUGAGUAAGCAAUAGGAAGCAGCACCGCCCACAUAGCUGCUACUGCGAAUUUCAGAAUGUACCGCAAUAUCUGGGAAAACUUGAAAUUCUUCCAGGCAUUGAAAUUAAGGAUAAUAUCCAGUGCAGCUAUAUAUAAAGAAUUUUGAGGAGGGAGAAAAACAGGACAAGGAAACUCCAUUAGAACAUCAAAAAUAAGAUCAAAUUCCUCCUUGUGGAAACAAGAAAAUACUAUGGAGAUCACAACCUUGUAAAAGAGUCAGAUACGCUGAGGUAAUAAAAAUGGUUAACACUUUUUUGAAGACAUCCUUGUCAAAAAUAUCACCCAGAGAUCCAGAACCAUUCCAUCCAACUAUUACCAUAGCCUACAAAAAGAUAAGGACAAAUCCAAUCAUUUCAAAAUUUCCAGACCAAUCAACUCUUUUGAUAAUACUAACUUUACCUGAAAAGCCAUGACAAAGAAUAUCCACAUUCGAUCAAAAUCUCUGAAGAGGUUCCAGAAUGUGCGGACUUCAACAAAGUUGGUUUUAGGCCUGCACUUCCCGUAAGUGACUUGAUUCAGCCUCUGCAAUACAUUAGACCUCAUGUUUCUGUAGUAUCUCAGAUUCUCAAAAUAUAAAUUGAUUAACAUUCAGUGCUUAAGAAGAAAAUGAAAUAUUACCUCGUUCUGUGCGGUUAUCUCGUCAGAGCUUAGGAAAAAGUCUGCACUAGGGUCCAGAGGCCAUCCUAUCUUGAAGCAUUUCUUAGACCUUCAAAUAAUUAAGGAUGUUGGCAACCAGAAAUAAGAUCAAAUAGGUAUGUCUAAACAAUAGUUAAGCAAGUAUGUCGAGAAACUCACCAAAAGUAUUCAUUCAAAUCAUCGUAAUUUCUCCAUUGUGAAUGGCUUGCUGUGCCUCCCUUGUUCCUUUUGGCUUCCUUCAAGGUAAGCACAAUCAUUUUCAGCCAAGAUAAAUUGUUCAGUUGCUAGCAAGAGUAUACGACAUGAGUGACCUUGAUAUACUUACCUUGCGUAUGACCUGAUAGAUCGGAGUUAUAACAUUUCUCAGAAACGAUUCUUCAUCAAUAAUUUCCUCUGUUUCAUAUGUCUCACCACUUACAGCUUCAACAUUGCUAAACAGAAUUCCAUAGACGUCAUUUGCCAUCUUAUGAAACAAUAACAAAAAACAGAGAAGAAAAGUAUUUCAAACCAUCCAGAACCUGAAGAAAGCUAUGGAAAGUAUGCAUUACAGCUGAGAAAACUUACAUUGUGAAAAAUAUAACAGAUACAUUCGGGCAUAAAUCUAACAUUUGAGGCUUCACCCCAUAUUAAAAGGUACAAGGAAAUAUAUAUAAGCUGCAGCUGCUGUUUAUCACAAUCUGCUGGAAACCUUUUAAGAAACAAGUUUAAGCAUCCAACAUCAGAUAUGUGACCAAAAGACAGAAUAUAAUGUACAAAAAUCAUACAAAACCAUGGGAUCACUUAUCACAUAAUCUACAUAUAGAAUAUAACAUACCUGAGAUUAGACUUACAGUGCAAAUAUUUACACCAUGAGCAAUAAUUUUUAAAAGUCUUGUCCAUCAACUCGGUGACUGUGCUAGGUUUCAACUGCAAGAAACUUAACAGCAUUACUAACGAUAAGGGGUAAGAGGAUGAUGUGUAAGACAGCAAUGCUUACCUCAUCAUAUUCUUCAUUAUUUCUGUUUCUGAUAUCAGCAUUAGCAAGAAGCAGUAUUAUAUGCUCCCUCUGAUUUGCCACGCUCCCUCUCUUCAAUUACCAUAUGAAUUGUAACAACAAUGAAUAUGCAACACAUAGAGUCAGAAAAUGCAAGAACAUAUAAGUAGAACAUAUUACGAAAUUUACACAAUAUACAAGGGUCAGAAAAUGCACACACUACAUGAGCCUGGAAAAUCAUCAUAACCACAAUAGGAGUUAUUCAGAAUAAAAUUAGAUAAAGAAAGAUAAGUAGCAAAUUACCUGAAAACCGAACUCAGAAGCAAGCCAUUCAAGUAUGUCAUUGAAACGCCUAGUUCUAGCCUUGCGCAUUUCAUCAGGGGCAUUAGAUGGCAAGUGAACUCUUCUUCGAGGAAGAUUACGCACAUUGCGAACAGCACUGAAUGCAGCCUUGACCUAUUCGUCACAUUACAUAACAUGACAAGAAAAAUGAAAUGGUGUAAAUAUAUCGCUAGCAUACUAAUUUCGGUCACCAUGUGUUCAAACGCACCUCAGGAAGUUCCACAAUUGCUGGUUUAGUCCCUACGGCAUAUAAAGGAAGAAUGUUGUAGUGCUCAUAUCUAUCCCUUUUCCUCUCAACUUCUUCCGCAUAUCUACGGGUCUAAUUAUUAACAGAAGAAGGAAACAAAGCAUAUGGAAAUGAGGCUUAAUCUAAUCGAGUUAACGUUAGAGAUAUAUACAAGGUAGUUAAAUCGAACCUCGUAAUCCACUUUUGGAGAGGGUACAACAGUCUUCAAUACAUCAUACAAUACAGAGGCAAUUUGGUAAAGCCUGGCCAUCUCUUCCCUUUAGCCGAGGAAAAAAAAAGGCAGAAACCAUAAGAGUAGGGCUUAAUAUCGAAUCUGUGGCAUGAGCUAGGAAAGAGCACUCACGGUUUUCUUGAUGUUUCUCCUUCUUUGAUAUACUUCUCAUAGAAGUUCUGGUAAUAUGCCUGAAUCUCUCUAGGGUCGUUUUUAGCCAGCUGAGGCUUGGUUUCCUCUUCUUCCUGAAACAAAUAGAACGAGUCAGCUCAAAAUGAUCAAGUAAGGUGGAGAUAUUAGUACCAGUCAACAAGAAAGUAUAAACCUUUUCAAGUCUAUGUAACAGAUAGGUCUUAAACUGACGAACACCUCGUCCACUAGAUGUAGCAUCCAUCCUAUGAGCCUUCUCAAAAGCAUGAAAGCGACCUGAAAUUACAUAGGCAUGCAGAUGAUUCAGUGUUACACAAAUUAUCUUGACUACGUCUCAGAUGACAUUUCAAAAACUAAAUACUCGUUAUAGAACCAUGACAAUAAAACAAGAACAUCCUUAAAUAGAAGAAACUGGUUAAAGCAAACAAGACUAUUGUCAAUUCUUCGUGUUAGAGCUCUGAAAUUUCAAUUCUUGCAACCUUAAACAUAAGCAAGAGUUGUCUUUUCCUACUAUUUUAGAAGAAAUAAUACAAAAAAAUAAAGAAAGCAAACUCACAGAGGUAAGCAACUCGAGGAUUAGCCUUCUCGAUUUCAUUAGCAACGCGAAGAAUCGGAGCAAUAGAAGCAAGAGACGAAGGAACAAGCUCGCUAUCCAUGGCGCUAGCAUCUUCAUUUGGCCUAUCAAUCAUCAUGGUGGUCGCACGCGACGGAGCCACCCUCCGUGAGAGAGUCCGCGGCAACUCCGCCGUUCCACUCGAACUAGGUUCCAUGCUAUUUUCUCCGUCAAAUCAACGUCUUCACUGAAUACAGAGUAACAGAUUAUCAUAUUUGAUAAAUUGGUCUCCUUUUGUACUCACUUUAUAGGAAACACAAAAGAAAAGAAGAUCGAUAAAGAAAUAAAAGGGUUUUCUUCGAGCGAUUGGUUAAUUUUAUAUCUUAUAUCUCUCUGCUUUCUGGCUUUUUCCUACUUAGCUUUUUCAUAUAUUUUCUUUUGCUUUGAUCUUUCUUUCUUUUUUUUUCCCUCGCUUUUUGCCUUUUUUUCUUAUGUGCAUAGUACGAAGCUCUCUAAAUUCUCUUGCUUAGCGAGGAAGGUGAAAGUGGAGGAAGACGCAAACAGGAAACUAUGACCACAAAUAUCCAAAAAGGUCACAAAGCCUAUUUUAAGGAUAGUUUUCUUUGCUUUUUAGUUUUCACAUACUCUGUCAAUUUCCCGCCCAACAUCAACACUACAAUUCUGAUACGGCGACGUUUUGACGUCCAAAAGUUAGUAAGUUGUCGUUUUUCAAAAUGAUCCGACGCCGUAUUUAUGAAUAACAAAGCAGGCAUCAAACGACACUGUUUAGAAAGGAAGGAAGAUAUUAGGAAGAAGAUAUGUAUAUAAAUUUAUCCACAAGGGCCCAACACAUGAUGCAAGUGCAACUAAAACUAAAAGAACUGCUAUAUCAUAGAAAAUAUUUACAGAGAAUCCUCGGAUUCAACCUCCAUUCUAUCUUAUAAACAAAUUUUUGUCUUCCAAGGCGGCGCAGAGAGAAGAAAACGAGCUUGUUUCCACUUUCAUUUCACUCCAGCACAGACACACCAGGUUGGGCCUAGAGCCACUACGCUACUCCACCAGGCUUUUCCACGGUAACAAGAGAAGAACAUUGGGCGGAUUCUUGCUUCAGGCUAUCGCUAUGAUAUUUCUUUGAGUCAUAUUGGACUUGCCUUAGAAACCUGCACCACCGAAUCCAAACCAAAAAAAAACAUGUUUUUUUUUAUGUUGGUAUUAUUCAGCUUAUUACAACACUUCUUUUGUGGAUCUGCUGAAAUGGCUUCCUAAUUUGAAUGUUAAUCAAGAGAACUGUGUACCUGGUUUUUGGAGACAGUUGUGGAAGUCCACUGCUGAGGAGGCUCCCUUGCAACAGUUUCAUAGUUGACAUAAGUGAUUCUUCUUGGUUCUUCUUGUCUACUCACAACGCUUUGAGGGGGCAACUCCCGCAAAACCCAUAACACGAACGCCAAUGGUACGGUGGAACCUGUCAAAAAGCGUUCUUAUCAAUAAUGCUACAUUCAAGGUCUUAAAAACUAGCAAAGGAAAGAAACAAAAAAAUUCAAUCUUUCACCUAUGAAGUAGUAUAUGAUCAGAAGAACCAAUGCCUUGACGCCGUGUAAUUUGCUUGGGUUCCAAUGAUAGAAGAGCUGAGAUCAGAAUAUUUUGUUUUUGCUUGGUUAAGCAUGUCGACAAAUGUUACCUUUCGGUUUUCUAUGGUAAUAAUGUCUUACCGGAAUGUGUGUGAGAAGAGCGAUUAAAGAGCUCACGGUAAAGCAUACAACUGAGACGCCUGCUAAACCCGAUACCUACAAAUUAUUAAAAUAUACUCUCCGUGUAAGGAUGGGAUUGAUAUGUGCAAGGAAUGAAAGAAAUCGUAAGCCAAUAAGAAUCAUUAGUUUACCUUUCGCAUUUCUGAAGAAACUUGUUCAGACCGGACCUUCCUUAGAUUAAAGAGCAGACGUAUGCCUAAACAAUGAGAAAGAACAUAAACGAGUUUGUGAAAAUUCUUCUACUAGAUCAAGUCUAAUGGUCUCAUUGUAGCAAGAUAAAAAAGAUCACAGCCUAUUAAUCACUGACAUAUUCGAAAAGCUAAAUGAAAAAAAUUCAAUCGCUUAAACCAGAAUAGAACUGAAGCAAUCACUCACCAUAGAAGCAUAUUCCUCCUCCCGUGAUUAGGAUUAUUGAAGCAAAAAUAUCAACAUACACCUACAUAAGAAGUGAACUUAUAAGAAGACCAGAAAAAAAGAACACUGCAAAAAUAUCGAGCGCAAGAACUUUCAUGACAGAAAAAGAGGAACUUUUAUCGUGUAGAAAUAGCUUAUCAUGUGGUGGAUUAAGAACUACACAUACCUGAGCCAAUAAUGAAGGAUCGGUAGAAUUCUUUCCGGAAGCAAUCCAAAUAAGGAUUGCAAAUGAUAUCAUCAAAAUGAACACAAGAAGAGCCGCCUAGCAAAAAAAGGAAACAUUUGUAAAUAUCACAGGAAUGACUUGGCUAAUGGUUAAUGCACAAAACCGACAUACCGCAACAACAAACUUCUGACGGGUGCCAACAUGAAUCCCAUGGAAAGAGCAACACUUUCUGCGAUCACUUGUACUCGAUGAACCUGCCUUGCUCUUGCUUUUUUCGAGCAAUACUUGCUGGAUGCUGUUUUCUUCAUCAUCAUCAUCCUCCUCCUCUCCAUUUCCCUGAUGGCAAACAUCUACCCUAUAACAUUAAGAAGCAUCAUUGUCUUGUCUCAGAAAAUUCAGAUAAAAUAAUCAGGUACAACACAAUAUGAUCAUAGAGUAUGGAGAAAAGAAGUACCAGAAAGAGAGAAGCAGGAGAAAAGUUGCCAGAAACAGAAUCUUGGGAAAGGCUGCAAGCACAAUUCGAUUCAUCAGGGAAUAAGCUACGGAGGAAAUAAUUAAAAACAUACACAAACAAGGGGAUAGACGCUUUACCCAUAAGUAGAAAACCGAAUGCGUUGGACCAAUGAUGCCACCUUGUGCAAGUCGCUAUAAUCGCAGCCACGAAAUAAACGAAAGAACCUGCCAAUAGAUAAGAAUAGAGACAUUACUCACAGGCUGCACAUUUUGUCCCAGCUAUCUUUGUUGCCUAUAUAACGAAUGUCAGGGAGGGUUUACCAGUGGUUGAAGAGCCAAUCAUGAGAUGAAGUACCUGCGGUUUACAUUAAUGGAUGUGUCAGAUACACACCAUGACAAGUAACAAGAAGUAUAUAAAACCUAAAAUUGGGAUUGAUAAGAAAACAGGAAAGAAGAGAAGAAUUUUACUUUUUGGCGCGUCCAUCCAACUCGUUUAUCCCGCCUGUGAAAUCGAGUUAACUGAAAGCAGUAGGCAGCCAAGAUAAAUCUUAUAAGCCCAAGUGCCCAACGCAACCAAAAAAAAAAAGAGAUGAGAAUAAGACUUUUUUUUAGUACUCCAAUGUCUAAAACUACAUAGGAACCAUGAAGAAUCUUAUUCUACACUCAUAAGCACUUUUGAAAGAAAUAAAGGUUUCUACUUUCUACUGAAGAUUCUCGUAUCGGAAUCAAAUCUCUCUUCUCACACAAAUAUAUUCCAGAGCCGUGACUUACUCAAAGAGUUGACCUGAAACUUAAAAGGUCAACCACAUCAACAACAACAGGCACAGCUCUAGAGACUAGAAUCACCAAACUCACAAAAUUCAACACCAAAAUUCAAUAAUCUCACAUCUCAUCGCGUUUCAUAAAUACGAAAUUCAGCACAAUGCUUCACUUUCCCAACAGACCUAAACGGUCUCACAAAAUCCAACAUUCAGAAAUCAAAUCGGAUUUUUUUUCAGGAAAAACAAACAAAACCGAAACCUAAUGAAAUCAAAAGGGCCUAGAAUCAGAGUUCUCAGAAGAAGAGAGAACCUGAAGGAAAGUGAUGAAAGCGAGAGCGCCAUCGAUUAAAGCCAGACAGAGAUUGACGGCGACGAAGCUUGGAGCAUAGCAUUUUCCCGUCUUCGAAUCGAAAAGCGUCGCUACGAUCGUCAUCACGAAUCCUCUCUUUCUCGAUCCUCCCGGAGAUCCAAUGCCGAGAUUUUAGGUUUGUGGAGAGAGGAUCAAUGAACACCGAGACAGAUGGUUGUAGAGGAUCGGGUUGGGUCUGGUCUGAAAAAAGAAAUAAUGAAUCACAUAUUUUUUGGGAAAAUACAUAAAAUUAUAAAAUUUUGUUAAAAAAUGCUACGACGCAUAAAGAGACUCUAGAAUAUACAUACAUACCGCCCAAAACAAAUCAAUUUAUAUUCGACUUUCUCCUUUUUCUUUUUUCGGACAUACAAGGCAUGUUCAAAUAUUCAGACUCUUCAUUAACAAUUGUACAUCCAAUUCAAAAUUGUUAUUACGUUAAAAACAUGAAAGGAUAAAUUAAAAAUAUUCGUUUUUUUUUUAAUGCUUGUCAUGUUUUCGUUAUUGUCGAAAAAUUUAAACUAGAGGAAUUCAUUUUCUGAUUUAUCGUAAUUUUGUAAUAUUUUCAUACAUUUUUGCUAAAUCACAUUAAUAUUAAAAAUAGUUAAAACCCAGUUCCAAACCCCUUCUUCUUCGCCUCAGUGUAUAACCGACGCGAGUAUGGCGUCACGGAGAGUAAUCUUUCUCCGACCUUUCUCAGGUAACUGCAUUAUCCGAUUUCUGUUGUGUGAUUUGUGUGCUGCGAUAUCCUGAAGCUUCUUCUGCUUUUCAAUUUGGUCUCAUCGUUGUUUUUAGACUGUUGGAUUUCUUUCAAUAACUUGUGUAUGCAGAGAGAGAGGAGACACACAACUUCAUCUCCUUUCUCGAUUUCUGCUAUUAUUCACUUAAUUCCUUAUAUGGCUCUUUGAAAAAAGUUUCAUUUGAGCUUUCUCAAUUACUUGGUGUGUUUUUGAAUUAGAACUAGAAAUUAGAAAAGCAUGGAUUAUGCUAACACAAUCGCUUGCAUACAGUCGCCGUCAGGUUACUUCAGUUGACUGUAAUGAGGCUCACAAUCCGCAAUCAAUUGGAUCAACAAAGACGAUGACUUUACAGUUCCCUCCUUAAAUUCACUAACCAUUUAAGGAUUAAUAUAAGUCUUUGGUGAUUGUAGAGAUUGGUAGACUAUGGAAUUGAAAAAGCAUAUAGCAAGCAAGAUUAACACACUUGUAUUCAGAAAUGAAGUUGAAUAGCUACACAUUAGUUUGAUAUAAUCUUUGUUCUACAGCAAUACAUUGUUGAAGGAAUCUCCUAAAGAAUGAUAAAAUAAAUCAAGGGAAUAAGAAUCUGUUCUUGUUGUUGUUACCUUUUUGUGUACAGUUUGCUUUGAUGUGUGACAUAUCUGUAUAAAUCGACAAGAAGGCUAUAUAUCUGCACACUUUGUGGGUGCAUACCCGAGCCUGGACCUCUUUGUAUCAUAGAGUAUAUGAAAAUUCUGCUGCUGGUAGUUUCCAAUGAUGGAAAAGGCUGAUUUUGGAGUUCCAAGAAUCGCCAAGCAAACCAAAUCAUCACUCAACCAAAUGAAAGAGUUCUCCGUUGGGAAAUUCCAAACUGCUCCAUCUUCGAAAGCAAUCCCAAGCUCAGGAAGCUGGACGUUUUCGAUGCCUGACACGUUGAAGCAAGGAUCUAGUAUUGGGAAGUCUCUGUAAACCGGGUACUUCCCUUUCACUUUCUCAGCAAUCUUGUUCUUGAUGAUCUCAUAAGCUGGUUCCGCAAAAUAACUUAAGGUUGUACCUGAAUCAAUGAUGCUCCCUCCAGCACCAUCAGAUGAGAUAUUCCAUGUUUCUUCAGGUAUCUUUAGAACUUGUCCUGCCACUAGGAUUGAUUUGAUCUGCACGUAGUAAAAUGUGUCGACGAGGUUUUCUUUCCCGGCAACAAAAGAAGUGAAAUUCAGGUUCGGGUGUCUCAGCAAAUCCUUGUCUUCACCGAAAAUCAACUUGCUACUAACGUUUGUAUCGCUGUUUCUAUCGACAAGGCAAUAAGAAAAGGAGUGGCCAUAAAGAGACUGAAGCUGAGAGGAAAACGAAAGUGGUCCUCUUCCUAACCCAAGCAACCCUGCAGCACCAUGGAAGAGACCUCUGUUCCAAUGACCACAACCGAACAUCAUGUUCUCGACGUUAUACAGUUCAGAGUUCCCUCCACUUGUCGUGAGAUUAACCGUGAAAGUCUCGACAGCGAAAUCUCCGGUAGUGUUUGAGCUAUCCCCGUACCAGUAGUAAUAAGGGCAUGAUUGGCUAUCUGAUUUGCAGGGCUUUGGAGGGUCAGGUGAUGAGACUAGGUUGCAUCUUGGGUCGUUGCAAGUUAUGUUCUUGAAGGAAGCAGAGGCUGUAGGAUCGUAAAACGCACCGUUUUGCUGGAAACAGUCGUAGCAAGGCAGGCAUUGGAUCCAGUUUAGAUCACUCCCUGUGUCAAGAAUCAAGGAGAAGUGUUUUGGUGGUGAACCAACCAAAACGUCCAUGAAGUACUCGCCUGAACCGAGAGUCAUACCGGAUUCAAGUGUAGCCACCAAUUGACCAGGCUGCUCCUCCACCGGAGAGGUAACCACUUCCUUCUUCUUCUGUUUCUGGAGACUGGAAACAGUGUUUUUGUUCUUCUUCUCCAAGACCCUUUUGUGAAGCGUCUGGAUUCUAGUGAGAUCUCGGAUUUGGAGCUCAAGAACAGAAUUUUUUGUUGUUGUCUUGUCUGUUUCUUGCUUCUUCGUCGUCUCCCGACGCUUUAAAUGAAACCUCACGGUCUUGUUUUCUCCAGUCAUUUCUUUGGUGGGUUCGUUCUCCGGCGAAGAGAAACCGCAAUCGUUGGUUGUGGAAGAAGAAACAGAACCGAAGCGCAUCGGAUUCGGAAAGUCAAACCCAGAAAAGCCCGAGAUGUUCUUCUGCUCAUUGUUUCCGUCGAGAGCUCUGGAAUCGCCGGACAAUGCUGUGACGAAGAAGAGUAUAAGACAAAGAGUGAAACUUUGUUUGGUCAACAUCAGGAGAUAAGCCUGAGGGACAAAAAAAAAAAAAUAGAAAUCGCCGACAAUGAUCAAGCUCGGAUUCACCGGUAAAGGAAAGUAAGAUGAAAAUGAAAAAAAAAUUGUAGAAGCAGAAGUUGUAUUCUAUUGAAUAAAAAAAAAUUAAGAAAAAGAAAUUUGAGCAAUUGAUUAGUUUCAGAUUGCAAAGAUUUGAUUUUGAAGGAUACAGGAAAAAAUGAGCUGAGAGGAGAGAAAGGAAGAACAAAGAUGGUGAAGUGGGAUUACUGAAGAAGAUACUAUAAAAUAAUAGUUGAUAAUUGUUGACCAAAGUCAUCUUCUUCUUCACGCGGUUUCAUACAAAGCACAAAACCUGUAGGUAACAAUUAGAAUAAAGGGAGUUUGUGGAAUGGUUCCCGUUCUACGAACAAUUUAUUUUACAUCAUCUCUUUGUUUUUACCUUAAACUUGGCUUACGAUAUUUUGGAAUGAAAAUUGAAAAGGAACCCAAAGAGUUAUCAGAUGAAAGUAUUCUUUUCGCAAAAUUAGAUUGAAUAAACCAUUUGAAAAUGAAAAAAUGACGCCAAUAUAACUAUAUAUAAUCUCAUAAAUUAUGGUGAUUGAGAUUAUAUAGAUACUGAUAUAAUCAAUAAAAAAGUUAUAUCUCGAAUUUGAUAAUAUAAUGUCUGAAAAAGAUAAACUAAAACCAUUAGAAUACUCAUGUUCUCUUGUUCUUCCCUUAGUAAACUGUAUAGCAAAAACAGGUUUUGACUGGCGAUAACCUAUUUUGAUUGGGGAUACUAAAGACACCAUUCAAAAUCUUUUUCAUAGACCCACCACUAUUAAAAAGUAGACGUUUGAUUUUUAUAGUAAUGACAAAUCUAUUAGAGAAAAAUACUUGUUUGACCGCCAAACAAAAACAAAACAACCAUCUUUGAAAAAGGGGAAAAAAAAGUCGCCACCAACAAAGUAUUGAUCUACUACCUUUUUAUGAUGCAUGUUAAUAUAAAAUAGACCUCGUGACAGUAUAAUAUAGUCGCAUAAUAACGCAUUAACAAAAUGGAUCUUUGUCAAUACGAUUCCAACCAUUCGACUCAUAUUGUAUAUUAAAUUAAUUAGUAUAAGCAAAGACGUUAAAGUUGACCGGUUAUAACCAUACUAUUCAAUUUGAGAGCAAUUUUAUAUUAAGUAGAGUUUUGUAUGGUAAAGUUGUAAACGUCAAGAAACGAGUCCUGUUUGACUUUGACCAACUAAACAAAAGUUUACUUGCAAUAACUAGACCUGUGGAAUAAGAGAAUCUCAACAGAAACUCCAAUGUCACAAAAACAUAUAGUUACUGAUCAAAACUUAAAUCUAAGUUAUAAUCAUUAUUAUUUUUAUAUCCCGGAAACGUAUGAAGGUAGACGUUGACCGGGGAAAAAAUUGAUAUUUUUUAUAGUAACACAAUUCCAAGUCAACACAAACAGUUUACACAUGCAUCAUAUGUGCUAUUGCAGAGUUUGCGGUUGGAAUGGAGAUUUUUGCAAUUUAAGAAGAGAUGGGGUGGCCUGUUCUGCAAGAAAUCAGAAGAAAUAGAAGCUGAUCAAACCGUUCCUUCUGAUGUGAUCUAGUUUUAUAUCUUUUUAAUGUAUAGUCAUUCUUUGUUCUUGCUUGUAGACGAUUUCGAGCUGAUAAAUAAUUUUUUUUUUAAAAAAAAAUCCAAGAUUUUUAAUGCGUCAAACUGAGCAUAUAAUUAGCUAAUAGUAAUAGGAUUUUGAGCAUGUGGGUGGCCAUAUUACACACCUACACGGCUACACCGCUGGUAAUCUGUAGGAGCAAACUCAACAUUAUGUUUAUUUUUCCCUACGAAACAUCCAAUAAAACGUUUACUUUUCAACUUUCUCUGAAGAUACCCGGAGAAGUUAAAUAAUUUUUUGGGGCCAAUUGGUUUGUAAAUAAGUAAAAACACGUUUGGUUAGAGGUUUGUCUGGGUUCAAUUCUUCUGUUCAAUUCUUUUGGGUUCAAUUCUUCUCAAGCGCAAAUUUGUCAUUUUUUUCUUCUUUUUACCAAUUAUUAGUAGACUAAACUACAUUAAAAAGAGUUUUAAAGGGCUAAUUUUUUUUUUCUCAGCUGUAAUUAGAAAAAUCUCAGCUCUCAACAUACCAAAACUUUUGCAAACUUUCACACACACAAAAAACAUUCAAAUGUGAUGUAUGAUUAAGCUAACAUGUCAUCAUUCUUUUGCAGAGAGUUGAUUAACAAACUCAAUGGCAACUCCAAAAACAUAAGAGCUAUUUUCAAAAUUUAUUUUUCUCACACUUUUUUUUGUACAGACAUUAAUAGAUCGUAUUAUGAACUUCAGUUUCACAUGAUUGAAAAAAAAAACAACCAAAAAAAUUGGGUAAUCAACACAUCCGUAUGCUAAAGUUACCAGAAAAUGUCAAUUUUUUUAAAGGCUCUAACAAUACAAAUCAGUUACGAACUUUGAAAAUUUGAUUUACACGAAAAGUAAAAUUUUGAAUGGACCUUCAGAACUGAUCAUCACAAGGUCGGAGGCGGGGCAGAUCGGAGCGACGGGAAAAGCGAUGGUAGAAGCAAGAACAAGCGAGCGGCGGAUUUGAAAUUCAGAUUGAAAACUAUAAAAUUAACAAAGAACAUCAUGUUCCCCUCAGGUUCUUUCGUUUCUUAUCCACAUACUUCUCCGCCGCUUCUAGCCUUUCAUCCCUCGACCAUCCGCCGCUAAACCCGCCUUCCGCCACCACCGCCUGAACGAUUCACGACAGUCUCUUAUAGAGGAGAUAGGGUUUUUGUCGAAUUUUUAUUUUUGGGAUAAAUUAGGCCUUGCGUAUAAGCCCAAUAACGUAUUGACUUAGGAUGAAAAGGCCGUCGUGACUUGAUUUUUGCGUAUAAGCCCAAUAACGUAUUGACUUAAUACUGUAUCAUGUUUUAAUUUUUAUUUUAGUGUAGUAUAAUGCGAAUGGUUUCGCUUUGUGGUGGAUGCGUUGUUUUUUUCUUUUUGUUUCUUCUUUACAGCUAAAAAUAAACUCCAUAUAUUGCUAACUAGUGGAGAAAAAGCUCACUUCGAAGGGAAUAGAUCAGAUACCAAAUUAAAAGAUGGUAACAAUGAAAACAAAAAAAUUGUAUUCUUUUUCC
rnacentral:lncRNA from 1 species